AAUAGAUACCCGGGUAGUCCACGCCGUAAACGAUGAGUGCUAAGUGUUAGAGGGUUUCCGCCCUUUAGUGCUGAAGUUAACGCAUUAAGCACUCCGCCUGGGGAGUACGGCCGCAAGGCUGAAACUCAAAGGAAUUGACGGGGGCCCGCACAAGCGGUGGAGCAUGUGGUUUAAUUCGAAGCAACGCGAAGAACCUUACCAGGUCUUGACAUCCUCUGACAACCCUAGAGAUAGGGCUUCUCCUUCGGGAGCAGAGUGACAGGUGGUGCAUGGUUGUCGUCAGCUCGUGUCGUGAGAUGUUGGGUUAAGUCCCGCAACGAGCGCAACCCUUGAUCUUAGUUGCCAUCAUUCAGUUGGGCACUCUAAGGUGACUGCCGGUGACAAACCGGAGGAAGGUGGGGAUGACGUCAAAUCAUCAUGCCCCUUAUGACCUGGGCUACACACGUGCUACAAUGGACGGUACAAAGAGCUGCAAGACCGCGAGGUGGAGCUAAAUCUCAUAAAAACCGUUCUCAGUUCGGA
rnacentral:rRNA from 1 species